rnacentral:rRNA from 1 species
UACGUAGGGUGCAAGCGUUAAUCGGAAUUACUGGGCGUAAAGCGUGCGCAGGCGGUUUUGUAAGUCUGUCGUGAAAUCCCCGGGCUUAACCUGGGAAUGGCGAUGGAGACUGCAAGGCUAGAGUUUGGCAGAGGGGGGGUAGAAUUCCACGUGUAGCAGUGAAAUGCGUAGAGAUGUGGAGGAACACCGAUGGCGAAGGCAGCCCCCCUGGGUCAAAACUGACGCUCAUGCACGAAAGCGUGGGGAGCAAACAGG